UACGAAGGGGGCUAGCGUUGCUCGGAAUUACUGGGCGUAAAGCGCGCGUAGGUGGCUUUCUAAGUCCUGUCGUGAAAGGUCGUGGCCCAACUGCGACAUUGCGGAGGAUACUGGGGAGCUUGAGGGCAGCAGAGGCCGGUGGAAUUCCCGGUGGAGUGGUGAAAUGCGUAGAUAUCGGGAGGAACACCAGAGGCGAAGGCGGCCGGCUGGGCUGUACCUGACGCUGAGGCGCGAAAGCGUGGGGAGCGAACCGG
rnacentral:rRNA from 1 species